CACAGCCAAGAAUCGACAGAGAAUGGAAGAUGGCCUCAACAGAAAUGGUAAAUCACACCACAAAAUCGGCUUCAAGCCUUGCCAAGCCAAGCUCUUGAAUGUCAAAGAGGAAACGUUACCAAAUGGAGGAUUUCAACGACAAAACUGGAAUGUUUCGAGCAACUGUUUCGAGUGCCAUAUAACGGGCAGACCAGCGGACCACCAUCUCGUCAUGUGUCAUAAUUUGUGUGAAGCACGGCACUGCACAGCACCGAACAGAGGAGGAGCAGAAAUAUCAGAAACUGGUGCCAAAAUCCCACCAAAAUCAAAGCAGAGAAACCAGAGACAAACGGUAUUAACCCGUCAUACAGGUGUCGUUGUCUGUCGUUUUCUGUGUGUGAAUGUGUAUCCGAUUCUCUCCUCUAAUAACUUUUAUAAUCGAUGAUCUUGUGUGACUUGUUGUUCGCUCGUUCGUUCGGGGCCUCGCCGUCGUGUAGGCCAAAAGAAUCUUGUUUUUUUCAGUUAUGCAUUCAACACAAAGGCCAACAAAAACCGCAACGCGAGAGACGAUGAGGAGAGAGAAGACGCGCCAGUCAGAUAUUUAUCAAUAUAUAGAAACCCGCUGCCAAUACUGGAAUUUUCUUGGGCUUUCUUAAAGGUCUGGAGCCAAAAAGAAGUCCGAAACAGAGGCAGAGCCAUAGAUACAUAUAAGGUAACCAUUGGAUGCCCGGCCCCCAUCGUGUGAUGAAAGACUCGUGUCGGCCGUUUGCCGUUUUGAAGAUGAUAUUUGCAUAAAACAAUCCGUUUGCUGAUC